rnacentral:lncRNA from 1 species
GGCAUCAAAGAGAACUUCUCUUGCUGGUUAUACAGCAAAAAAUUGGAGAAAAAAAUUCCUCCCAACGAGAGAAAGAGAAGGAAGAAGAAGGGUCUUUUUUCUUAUGCGCAGCCUUGGAGAAGGAGUUCUUCUCCCAGAUUUUUUUUCUAUUUUUUUCUAGAAUAAAAAUUAGAUUAGAUCUAAUUUUUAAUGUAAAAAUUUAGAGAAGA